GGAAGGGUGGCUCUUUCUUUUAAGGUGGUUUCCUCUUCCCAAGUUAAGCAAGGGUGCAAAGUUUCUAGUUCGGCCACAUCAAGCCGAAUCUACCAAAGAGAAGAGCGUAAUCAUCAGAAUAGAGAAGCUGGAGCCCUUGACGAAGGUCAGUGUGAAGCCGAUGCAGAAGGCAUCGAGGCUCGGGGAGGCAAGGCCAGACCAAAGCAGAGGGGUCUGCGAGGGCUGGACUAUCUGGUGUCUAUCACCGGACUGUCCGGUGCUUGUCACCGGACUGUUCGGUGAUUCCAGAGAGCAUGGAGGUGGCUCCAAGAUCGAAGGAAAAAGCAAGCCGAGUUUUGCAGAGUUCUUGGCUAAGUACAAGAAGGAAGGAGUUGCUAGAAAGAAAGGGAAUAACUGAACAAUGAUGCAGCUUCGAGAACUUCACAUGCGGGUAAAGGAGAGCACGCAAGGAUCUGAAUGUCUACGGCCGAAGUGGUGUCCUUCAGGCAUAUCUCACACUCAGAAGAGAAGGCUUCAACGUUUGCGUCAACAAGAGUCAAUGGAGCAGAAAGAGAAGGUGAUGCCAGUGGAGAAGGUGCGCGUUACUAAGCAAGUUUGGAGACCAAAAGCAGGUUGAAUAUAUUGCACAGAAGUGUGCCCGUCAAUAUUGAGGGAA